rnacentral:rRNA from 1 species
AUUGAACGCUGGCGGCAGGCCUAACACAUGCAAGUCGAGCGGAGCGGCGGACGGGUGAGUAAUGUAUGGGAAACUGCCUGGUAGAGGGGGAUAACUUACGGAAACGGUGGCUAAUACCGCAUACUAUCAGAUGAGCCAAGGUGGGAUUAGCUAGUUGGUGGGGUAAAGGCCUACCAAGGCGACGAUCCGUAGCUGGUCUGAGAGGAUGAUCAGUCACACUGGAACUUGGACACGGCCCAGACUCCUACGGGAGGCAGCAGUGGGGAAUAUUGGACAAUGGGCGAAAGCCUGAUGCAGCCAUGCCGCGUGUGUGAAGAAGGUCUUCGGGUUGUAAAGUACUUUCAGCUGGGAGGCGUUACCAGCAGAAUAAGCACCGGCUAACUUCGUGCCAGCAGCCGCGGUAAUAC